rnacentral:lncRNA from 1 species
AGUAGAAGUCAUAACCUUUUACUUGGUUGUGGUAGUAUUCAAAAAUAAUGUGUCAAACUCUAUAAAUAAUAUUUUUACUACUUCAACUAAAAUUUUGAGGUACUUGAUUGAUAUUUAUUGUGACUUUAAUGAUUAAAAUGAGACCCCGAUAAGAUUAGUGAGCAAAGUGAUAUAUGACCUCCACUUCAGUGACCACUUUGAUAUUUAACCCUUGUUCCUGGCCUUCAACUUGAUGGAUGCAGUUCCUUGCUUUUUAUCUCUGUGGUGUGUUUCUUUUGCCAAACUUCUUAAUACCUACUUCCUCGAAAUAGAGAAAGGCGUUUUUGGUUUGUGUAAUCUGUUAUAUAAGCUAGCUAUGUGAGAUCUUAGGUGUUUCUUACUAGUACCAGACUAUUAAACAAUCAGGUCAUAAUAUUGCACAGAAACAGGAUUCAAAGCACACUAGACUUUGCUUCUCAAAAUAUCAAAAACAAAUAGCAGGGGUGCAUAUAAAAAAGACAAGCAAACAAACAAAUUAUCUUUACCAGUAAUUCAACAACUAAUAUAACAAAACAAACACAAGUGAAUAUGUAUAUGAUCAACUAAAUUAAGAAGGUUUUAGAGAGUGGCCUGGUGAGGCGUGUGAAAACACUGCCCUAAGGAAUCGUGCCCCUUCUCGUGCAAGGUUUUGUGGCAACUCUUUAGCGGUACAACACCCAAAUAGUUAUCCUUUAGCAGUGCACGAAAGAUAAAGGACAUCAACAAUGAUUUUCCAAUGCACCAAAUAACAGCCAAAGUAUUGUAUAUAAAUAGUAUUAUGCUUUUAAACUAUAUGCUUCUCUAGAUAAAAACAGAGGUUUGUGUUUUCCGAUAUAUGCAGACUAGAAGAGCUUUGAAACAGAGGAGAAUGGAAGCAGAGGAGUCGAGAGAUUGUUUUUCUUUUUGUUGUUCUGCUACUUUUCCAAAACUCUCUUUGUAUAGGUUGUAAACUUAUACCUGAUACAUAGCUUUAUGGGGAUAUUAUUAGAUUUUCCAAAACUCUCUUUAUAUAGGUUGUAAACUUAUACCUGAUACAUAGCUUUAUGGGGAUAUUAUUAGGUUGAUUAUGAAUUAAAGCAUGAGAAUGUAACUGGUAUUUUAACGGGAGGAAAAUAUAUGUACUUCAAAACAUAUCUUUGACCAAAUCUUUUAAUAUAUAUCUAAAAUAUUCAAAUUUUAUUUUUUCACAAUAUUAGAUAUUAAUAGCUAAAUAUCUAACAAUCCCCUCCAAAAAUAAAACUUUAAGUAAGAAAAACAUAAACAAAACAAAUAAAAUGUGGAGCUCAUUUUAUUAUGUAUUCAAUACGGGUAGCUUCCGGCUUGGAACCCGCACCUAGUGACAUUUGUUGCAAUUUGAAAAAUCAAAGUGGACUACGCCUGGAACUUGAUUCUUUCAACCAAAUAUUAACAAACACUACAAGAAAAUUCAUAUAUAACGACGGAUAUUCCGCUGGCAGAAUAGGGAUUUCCGUUGGUAAAUCACCUUGCCAACGGAAUGAUAAUGAAAACAGAGGGUUGGCAUAUAGCCCGUCGGGAAGUUCAUGCUAACGGAACNCAUCUGCNUUAGUAUUAUUAGCAACGGUUUCUCAACAAAAUGUGGUUGGUACAUUUAGUAACAGAAUUCUGUUGGCAGAUUUGGUAACAGAAGUACUAACGAAAUUCUGUUGGCAUUUAGUAGUCUCACUACGAUCGAUCAGUUCCAGUGAGUAAGAGACGCAAAAUGAAAAUUUGUGUUUUUUGAAAUAUGGAUGAGAAAGAGAUGUUAUAUGUUCCAAAGCUUUUGACUGGCUAAGAAUAAUUAAUUACAACAAGAAAAAGGUAGGUUGAUAUAUACAUUGAUUAGAAAUGGUAGUUGAUAUAUAUUAAUUGCCAACUACAACUACUAACCAAUUAGUAACGGAAUGGUUAGUAUUUACCAAAAGACUUAACUCGUUGCUAGUCCGUUGUUACUUUCUUGGUAGUGUGUUAUUAUUCCGUUACGAGUUUUUUCUUCCUAACGGAACAUACUGUUGGUAAAUUAGCGUUGGUAGUUUGUUACGAAUUGAUUGCGAGAAUAUUGACUAGUUAAAUCAUUACAAAUCCGUUGGGAACUACCAACGGACUAAUUUCCCUUGGCAAUUUCCAUUGGUAAAACUGCGUUCUCUUGUAGUGAAAGCACACAUAAUAUGAAAAAUCAUUGUUAGGGCUUGCGCUAUAAUGGCCAUGCGCAAUAACCGACUCAUGAGAGUUUCAGAGAUUAGCCCGUAUCUCAUAGUUGCGGCCACACAACUCCUCUCACGUAGGUAAUUCCUCAAAGGUAUUAGUGAACGGAUAAAUACCUUGCAAAUUCUGCCUUAAGACUUAUUAAGAGUAUGAAUACUCAACCUUACCGUUCACUAUAUGAGCACUUCAUCAUCAUAGGAAUGGGGUAGAAGAAUGUAUCUACGUACAUCUUCUAAGGAGUGUAACUCCUUAUAUUGAAGGCUCUCACACAAACAUCUAUUCAGCUUGUUUCUACCCUUGGAACUUAUUAAACAAGUAGGGUUUCCACUGUAGAUGAUGCAUAAUUAUGGGCUUAACCCCAUUCCCCUCGAUGAAAUUAGGAUCUUUUUCCUAGAUAGACCCUUUGUCAAAGGAUCUGAUAAAUUCUCUUCUGACCUCACAAAAUCUAAGGUCACUUAAUCUCUCAUCAAGCGCUUGAUUAAUUUGUAACGUAUCUGCAGAUGCCUAUUCAAUUUUGCAUUAACAGUUUCCUGUGCUAGUAAAUCAAGAACAGUAGUAGAAUCACAAUGUACAUGAAUAGGUGGAACAAUUUUAAACAAAAAUGAUAAAUCAAGCAACAAAUUGCGAAGCCAUUCAGCUUCCAAACAUGUAGUGUCAAGAGCAAUUAACUCAGCAUAAGAUGUACUUCUAGCAAUUAUAGUUUGUUUAACAGAACCCCAAGUUAUAGUACCACCACCAAACAAAAAUAUAAAACCGGAAGUGGAUUUUACUAGACGUGAAUCAGUUACCCAAUUUGCAUCAGAAUAUCCUUCUAGUAAAUCAGGAUGACCGCUAUAUAUAAGUGAAUAAUCUAUGGUGCCUUUUAAAUACUUAAGUACCCUCUCUAAAGCUGUCCAAUGUUCUUGACUUUGGUUACUUGUAUAUCUACUAAGUCUUCCUACAGCAAAAGAUAUGUCAGGUCUUGUUCUAUUUGAGAUGUAUAGUAGAGAACCUAUUAUUUGAGAGUAUUUAUGUUGUGAAAUAGGAUUGCCUUUAUUUUUAUUAAGAGCUAUACUCGAGUCAUAAGGUGUUGCUACAGGUCUACAAUCCAUAUAAUUAUAUUUUUUUUAAGCAUUUUCUCAAUUGAAUGACUUAAUGAUAUGUGAAUUCCCUUUUCACUCCUAAAAAUUCUCAUUCCUAAAAUCACAUUUGCCUCUCCCAAGUCUUUCAUAUCAAAAUUUCUAGAAAGAUAGUUUUUAAUAUACACAAUACAAGACAUUGAUCUACUAAAAAUUAAAAUAUCAUCCACAUAUAUGCAUAUAAUGACAUAUUCAUCACCAAGCACUUUAUAAUAUAAACAUUUAUCAAAUUCAUUUGAAACAAAACCAUAUUUAGUAAUCAAACAAUCAAAUUUUUUAAACCAAUCUUUAGAGGCUUGUUUUAAACCAUAUAUCGAUUUCACUAACCUACAUACUUUAUUUUCUUUCCCUUUAACCAUAAAACCUUCUGGUUGCUCCAUAUAAAUUUCUUCAUGCUAAAUCACCAUUUAAAAAGGCUGUUUUAACAUCCAUUUGGUGUAUAUGUAACUUAUAAAUAGAAGCUAAGGCUAGGAGAGUCCUAACAGUGGUUAUGCUAGCUACAGGUGAAUAUGUGUUAAAAUAAUGUGUAAACCCUUUAGCAACUAACCUAGCUUUGUACUUAUUUAUAGAUCCAUCAGGCCUCAAUUUUUUCUUAAAUACCCAUCUACACCCUACAGUUUUAAAACCUUUAGGUAAGUCAGUUAAAUGCCAAGAAUUAUUCUCCAAAAGAGAUUUCAUUUCACUAUCUAUGGCUUCUUUCCAAAAAGGAGCAUCUGGUGAAGACAUAGCUUCCAAAUAAGUAGAUGGUUCACCUUCAACAGAAUAAACAAGAAAAUCAUCUCUAUAAUCUUUUUCUAUCCUACCUCUUUUACUUCUUCUAGGUUCUUCUAAUGAUGUUGAUGUACAAGGAAUGUUUGACAUAGAAUUAGAACUAGAGCUAGCGACUUGUUUUAGCAUCCUAGUCUUAUAAGGAAAAAUAUCCUCAAAAUAGGUUGCAUCUCUAGCCUCAAUAAUAGUAUUAGGGGAAACAUUGGGAUUAUCAGAAUGAAUUACAAGAAACCUAUUUGUUGUACCUUGAGUAUAUCCAAUAAAAAUAACAUCUACAGUUUUAGAUCCUAACUUUCUUUUCUUUGGUUCUGGAAUUCCUACUUUAGCCAAACAACCCCAAACUUUGAAAUAAUCAAGUUUUAGACUUCUAUUUUUCGAAUAUUCAUAAGGUGUAAUAUUAGUGGUCUUAUUAGGAAUUCUAUUUAACACAUAACAAGCAGUGAGCAACGCCUCACCCCAAAGAUUUUCGGGAGCACCCGAACUUAAGAGCAUACAAUUUAUCAUAUCUAUCAAAGUCCUGUUUUUUCUUUCAGCGACACCGUUAGAUUGUGGAGUGUAAGGGGCUGUAACUUCGUGAAUUAUUCCAUGUUCUUGGUAAAAUUGUGUAAAAUCAUUAUCCAUAUAUUCUCCACCUCUAUCGGAUCUAAGAAUUUUAAUACUUUUUUCAGUUUGUUUUUCAAUCUCGGCUUUAUAAAUUUUAAAAUUUCCUAAGACCUCGUCUUUUUUCUUAAGAAGGUAUACAUAACAAUACUUAGAAUAAUCAUCAAUAAAAAUUACAAAAUAUUUUCUACCACCUCUAGUAAGAACCUUACCACUAUCACACACGUCACUAUUAAUUAAUUCUAGUAAUGAAGAGUCUCUAGCAAUAUUUGAGAAAGCCUUUCUAGUGUGUUUACAUUGUGCACAUAUUUCACAUUUAGUUCUUUCCUUAAUAUUAUGAUUUGGGAGUAAACCUUUAUUAAUCAUUCUUUGUAUUGUACCAUGAUUAACAUGUCCUAGUCUUUCAUGCCACAAAGAAGAAUUUUCAGUAUUUAGGACAAUUGCAAAGAUUUCAUUAUUAAUAAGAUUAGGAGAAACAUUCAAUUUUAUUAAUCCUUCAAAUACAUAACCUUUACCAAUAAAUACAGUAUUCUUGGAGAUUACAACUUUAUUAGAGACCAUAUCAAUGCGAUAACCUACACUAAGAAGAAUUGAACUACUAAUGAGAUUUCUCCUAAUUGUAGGUACAUGUAGGACAUGAUUAAGAACUAAGAUUUUCCCAGAUGUAAAUUCCAAAUUUAUUCUUCCUCUUCUACUCACUUGAGCUACCGAAUCAUUUCCAAGAAUUACAUUUCCUCCACUUGAUUCCUGAUAAUUUGAAAACCAUGAACGUUCAUUACACACAUGAAUAUUAGCUCCAGAGUCUAACCACCAAUCAUUAGAGUUAUAGAUUGUAUUAUUAAUUAAAGGGAUAGAAUUUUCUAACCUAAAUGAAUUAUUAGGAGUUCCCUCGAUCAUGUUGACUUGAUGUUUUGGAGCGGCUUUGAAGCGAUUACUAGCUUGAACAGGUUCAGUUUUCUUGUAGAAACAUUGAGGAGCAAGAUGAUUUGUUCUUCCACAUACAUAACAAUGUUUUUGAUUGUUCUUGGAACCACCAUUAGACUUAUAAGAGUUUUUAUUUUGAUUUUGGAAAUAUUUUGAAGGGCCUUUAUUAUGAAAUUUAUUCCCCACUAUUUUUGAAAUUUCUAUUUUUGGGUUUAAAAGAACUCCUGUGGCGAUUUGGAUUUUUGGAUUCCUCGGUGAGAUUGACUUUAAGGGAAACUUCAGUUUUAGACUUCUCGUUUUGCCUAUGUUCGUUUUCAAUACGGACUUUCACAAUAGCAUUAUUAAGAGUGAGAGAAGAUUGAUUGUGGCGAAGUUCUCUAGCAAAAUCAGACCAACUAGGAGGGAGUUUAUCGAUGAGAUUUGAAACUUUGAAUUCUUCAGAAAAUUUAGAACCUUUAGACUCGAGAUAUCUAACAUGAUCUUGAAAAGUGUGUAAUUGAUCUCCUAUAGGUUUAUCAUUUACCAUUUUAAAAUUAUAAAAGGAGGAUGCACUAAACCUAUGGGCACCAACAUCAUCAAAGCCAUACUCGGUUUCUAAAGCUUCCGAUAAUUCUUUAGCCAAAUCAAACUCACAAUAUAUAUCAUAUAAGGUAUCCGACAAGGCACUAAGAAUCCUAUUUAAGCAAAUAUAAUCUUGAUCUUUAGUGGGUUUUGUUGGAGUAGAAGAUGUGGGUGUUGAAGUUUCGGUUUGUGGAGUUGAAGUUGAAGUCUCUUUACUAGUAUUUUGAUAUUCCAAAACACUUAUAAGGCCUAAGGUGGUUAACCAAAAUCUCAUUUGUUUUUGCCAACGCUUAAAAUUCAAUCCACUAAAUUUCUCGGGUUUAGCCGAGCGAAUGUCGUCUCUUGUAUCCGCCAUAUUAAUAGUUAACUGUAAUUUAACCAAUUCACUAUAUGUCAAAAUAAUAAUAAAAAUAUUAGGAUAGUAAGCAGUAUGUUAAAAACAAGUAACGAAAAUAUCAAAUAUUUUAUUAACACUAGUUGAACAAAAUAAUAAGGUACAAUUGAAUUUUAGUAUGCAAUUUCAAACCAGAGCUACAAAACUAUUAUAUAUGUGGUUUAGUUGGACACACUUGAUCAUAUAAAAGUUAACACAAAAGGGCCAGAGUUUCUGAUUUCAUAUGUUCACAAGCAAUGCUCCACUGGUGCUAUGUAAUCAGCCUAUAUUUGCAGGAUUAGUUUGUCUGAGUGUAAGAAUAUAAAAGAAGCCAGCAAUAUGAACAAUUUCAGCAGACUAAUAAUAACAAAAUUACGAUUCCUUAGAUUGUUAUAUAAGCUAGCUAUGUGAGAUCUUAGGUGUUUCUUACUAGUACCAGACUAUUAAACAAUCAGGUCAUAAUAUUGCACAGACACAGGAUUCAAAGCACACUAGACUUUGCUUCUCAAAAUAUCAAAAACAAAUAGCAGGGGUGCAUAUAAAAAAGGCAAACAAACAAACAAAUUAUCUUUACCAGUAAUUCAACAACUAAUAUAACAAAACAAACACAAGUGAAUAUGUAUAUGAUCAACUAAAUUAAGAAGGUUUUAGAGAGUGGCCUGGUGAGUCGUGUGAAAACACUGCCCUAAGGAAUCGUGCCCCUUCUCGUGCAAGGUUUUGUGGCAACUCCUUAGCGGUACAACACUCAAAUAGUUAUCCUUUAGCAGUGCACGAAAGAUAAAGGACAGCAACAAUGAUUUUCCGAUGCUCCAAAUAACAGCCAAAGUAUUGUAUAUAAAUAGUAUUAUGCUAUUAAACUAUAUGAUUCUCUAGGUAAAAACAGAGGUUUGUGUUUUCUGAUAUAUGCAGACUAGAAGAGCUUUGAAACAGAGGAGAAUGGAAGCAGAGGAGUCGAGAGAUUGUUUUUCUUUUUGCUGUUCAGCUACU